rnacentral:rRNA from 1 species
UACGUAGGGAGCAAGCGUUGUCCGGAAUCAUUGGGCGUAAAGCGCGUGUAGGCGGUCCGGUAAGUCCGCUGUGAAAGUCGGGGGCUCAACCCUCGAAUGCCGGUGGAUACUGUCGGGCUAGAGUGCGGAAGAGGCGAGUGGAAUUCCUGGGUGAUAGCGGGUGGAAAUGCGCAGAUAUCAGGAGGAACACCAAUUGCGAAGGCAGCUCGCUGGGACGUUACUGACGCUGAGACGCGAAAGCGUGGGGAGCAAACAGG